rnacentral:siRNA from 1 species
GAGCCAUUCCUGAAGAAUUUUGUU